rnacentral:rRNA from 1 species
CACGUAGGGUGCGAGCGUUGUCCGGAAUUAUUGGGCGUAAAGAGCUCGUAGGCGGUGUGUCGCGUCGGCCGUGAAAACCUGCAGCUUAACUGUGGGCUUGCGGUCGAUACGGGCAUCACUGGAGUUCGGCAGGGGAGACUGGAAUUCCUGGUGUAGCGGUGAAAUGCGCAGAUAUCAGGAGGAACACCGGUGGCGAAGGCGGGUCUCUGGACGGUGACUGACGCUGAGACGCGAAAGCGUGGGGAGCAAACAGG